GCAGCAUACUUCUGUUCCUCAGGGACCCGAGCGGGGCAGGGAGGUCUCAUUUUGGAUAUUUUCUUACAGAGCUGAGGUCGUGUUAUCAGUUCACUAGAUGAAAACUCGCUACCAUGUUUGUAGUCUUCUAUUUACUCGGGUGUCUGGCAUAUGAAUACCGUCGUAUCCCAAGCUGAACGACUUUGAGAUGGAACUCUUGGGAAAACAUGCAUCUUGGAUAGAACUGGAGUCUGUCAGAUUUGGAACAGGACGUUCCUUGCAGCGCCAGAAGAACUCGACUCUACCCUAGAUGUAUUAAACCGGAAUACCGAAAUCAAUACUGAAACUCCACAAGAACGGGGAAAAGAUCAGCUGUUCAGUGAAGUCGCCGAAAGACUGAGGCACGAGAAGACAAGAACACCGAAACAGCACCUCGAAAUACUUUCUGACUCAGCGGAGAUGUGCGACCUAUACGACGCUCGAAAAUAGAGACGGGGCAGAUCUGUAAAGAGCUUGACCGUCUGUGGGAAGAGGAGCUCGAAAGUGUCGAGAUCGCCGUCUAAAGAUCAACAGUGGGGGAGAGGAAGCUAGUAGGUGGAAAGAAAGGCCGAGGACGCUCUCGUGGUGCCCGUGCAGGCGGAAGAGGACGUGGUCGAGUAGCUAGAUUUAAACCUCACUGCUCUUCUGUCAAGGUCUUAUUUCUUUAAAUCUUAGCCAUUAUGUUCGUGCUUCUGUAUUUCAUAGUAUCAGUGCCAUCAAACAUACCAUUAUGCUUUUCUUGUGGAUAGUAGCAUAACGAAUACGUGCAGAAUUGAAAAAAAACCGUUUUAAUGAAGUACCUUUUGGAUUGUAAAUAUCGAUAGACUUGUGCCUGGUUUUAAUAUCAUAUA